UACGUAGGUGGCAAGCGUUACUCGGAAUCACUAGGCGUAAAGCGCAGGUAGGCGGUUCGGUAAGUCUCUUGUGAAAGCUCCCGGCUCAACUGGGAGAGGUCAAGGGAAACUACCGGGCUAGAGUGUGGCAGAGGAAGCUGGAAUUCCCGGUGUAGCGGUGAAAUGCGUAGAGAUCGGGAGGAAUACCUAUGGCGAAGGCGGCUUUCUGGACCACUUCUGACGCUGAGGCGCGAAAGCUAGGGGAGCAAACAGG
rnacentral:rRNA from 1 species